rnacentral:rRNA from 1 species
GAUGAACGCUGGCGGCGUGCCUAAUACAUGCAAGUCGAGCGAACAGACGAGGAGCUUGCUCCUUUGACGUUAGCGGCGGACGGGUGAGUAACACGUAGGUAACCUACCUAUAAGACUGGGAUAACUUCGGGAAACCGGAGCUAAUACCGGAUAAUAUUUCGAACCGCAUGGUUCGAUAGUGAAAGAUGGCUUUGCUAUCACUUAUAGAUGGACCUGCGCCGUAUUAGCUAGUUGGUAAGGUAACGGCUUACCAAGGCAACGAUACGUAGCCGACCUGAGAGGGUGAUCGGCCACACUGGAACUGAGACACGGUCCAGACUCCUACGGGAGGCAGCAGUAGGGAAUCUUCCGCAAUGGGCGAAAGCCUGACGGAGCAACGCCGCGUGAGUGAUGAAGGUCUUCGGAUCGUAAAACUCUGUUAUUAGGGAAGAACAAACGUGUAAGUAACUGUGCACGUAUUGACGGUACCUAAUCAGAAAGCCACGGCUAACUACGUG